AUAAUUGUCAGCUAAGUGGCGCACGGGUGAGUAAUGUAUAGAUAACCUGCCCUUAAGAAAGGAAUAACAGUUGGAAACGACUGCUAAUGCCCUAUAUGCCUUUAAUACAUAAGUAUGCAAGGGAAACGCUUUAGUGCUUAAGGAUGGGUCUGUAUGGUAUCAGCUUGUUGGUGAGGUAAUGGCUCACCAAGGCUAUGACGCCUAACUGGUUUGAGAGGAUGAUCAGUCACACUGGAACUGAGACACGGUCCAGACUCCUACGGGAGGCAGCAGUGGGGAAUAUUGCACAAUGGACGAAAGUCUGAUGCAGCAACGCCGCGUGGAGGAUGACACAUUUCGGUGCGUAAACUCCUUUUAUAUAGGAAGAUAAUGACGGUACUAUAUGAAUAAGCACCGGCUAACUCCGUGCCAGCAGCCGCGGUAAUACGGAGGGUGCAAGCGUUACUCGGAAUCACUGGGCGUAAAGAGCGUGUAGGCGGGUAUAUAAGUCAGAAGUGAAAUCCAAUAGCUCAACUAUUGAACUGCUUUUGAAACUGUAUACCUAGAAUGUGGGAGAGGUAGAUGGAAUUUCUGGUGUAGGGGUAAAAUCCGUAGAGAUCAGAAGGAAUACCGAUUGCGAAGGCGAUCUACUGGAACAUUAUUGACGCUGAGACGCGAAAGCGUGGGGAGCAAACAGGAUUAGAUACCCUGGUAGUCCACGCCCUAAACGAUGUACACUAGUUGUUGUGAGGCUCGACCUUGCAGUAAUGCAGUUAACACAUUAAGUGUACCGCCUGGGGGAGUACGGUCGCAAGAUUAAA
rnacentral:rRNA from 1 species